AACGAACGCUGGCGGCAUGCCUAACACAUGCAAGCCGAACGAGAUCUUCGAGUCUAGUGGCGCACGGGUGCGUAACGCGUGGGAAUCUGACCUUAGGUUGGGAAUAACAGUUGGAAACGACUGCUAGUACCGGAUGAUGACGAAAGUCCAAAGAUUUAUCGCAAGAGGAUGAGACCGGGUAGGAUUAGCAAGUUGGGGUGGUAAAGGCGCACCAGGGGAACGAUCCUAGCUGGUCUGAAAGGAUGCUCGGCCACACUGGGAAUGAGACACGGCCCAGACUCCUACGGGAGGCAGCAGUGGGGAAUAUUGGACAAUGGGCGAGAGACUGAUCCAGCAAUGCUGCGUGAGUGAUGAAGGCCUUAGGGUUGUAAAGCUCUUUUACCCGGGAUGAUAAUGACAGUACCGGGAGAAUAAGCUCCGGCUAACUCCGUGCCAGCCGCCGCCGUAA
rnacentral:rRNA from 1 species